UCCGAGUUGACCCCGGCAGUCUCCUACGAGUCCCCGGCAUUACCCGCUGGCAACAUAGGACAAGGGUUGCGCUCGUUGCGGGACUUAACCCAACAUCUCACGACACGAGCUGGCGACAGCCAUGCACCACCUGCACACAGGCCACGAGGGAAUACCUAUCUCUAGGCACGUCCUGUGCAUGUCAAACCCAGGUAAGGUUCUUCGCGUUGCAUCGAAUUAAUCCACAUGCUCCGCCGCUUGUGCGGGCCCCCGUCAAUUCCUUUGAGUUUUAGCCUUGCGGCCGUACUCCCCAGGCGGGGCACUUAACGCGUAAGCUGCGACACGGAGAGGGCCGAUCCCCCCCGCAUCCAGUGCCCAUCGUUUACAGCGUGGACUAC
rnacentral:misc_RNA from 1 species